rnacentral:rRNA from 1 species
UUUGGUUAAGUUAGAAAGGGCGCACGGUGGAUGCCUUGACACUAGGAGUCGAUGAAGGACGGGACUAACGCCGAUAUGCUUCGGGGAGCUGUAAGUAAGCUUUGAUCCGAAGAUUUCCGAAUGGGGAAACCCACCAUACGUAAUGGUAUGGUAUCCUUACCUGAAUACAUAGGGUAAGGAAGACAGACCCAGGGAACUGAAACAUCUAAGUACCUGGAGGAAGAGAAAGCAAAUGCGAUUUCCUGAGUAGCGGCGAGCGAAACGGAACAUAGCCCAAACCAAGAGGCUUGCCUCUUGGGGUUGUAGGACAUUCUAUACGGAGUUACAAAGGAACGAGGUAGACGAAGCGACCUGGAAAGGUCCGUCGUAGAGGGUAACAACCCCGUAGUCGAAACUUCGUUCUCUCUUGAAUGUAUCCUGAGUACGGCGGAACACGUGAAAUUCCGUCGGAAUCUGGGAGGACCAUCUCCCAAGGCUAAAUACUCCCUAGUGAUCGAUAGUGAACCAGUACCGUGAGGGAAAGGUGAAAAGCACCCCGGAAGGGGAGUGAAAGAGAUCCUGAAACCGUGUGCCUACAAAUAGUCAGAGCCCGUUAAUGGGUGAUGGCGUGCCUUUUGUAGAAUGAACCGGCGAGUUACGAUCCCGUGCGAGGUUAAGCUGAAGAGGCGGAGCCGCAGCGAAAGCGAGUCUGAAUAGGGCGUUUA